UGGUCCGAUCCAAAAAAAAAAAAAAAAGUGUUCGUGUGUGCUUAUUGCGGCCCGAUGAUCAGUUAUUUCCGCAGUUUGCGGGUACGAUGAUCAGAAAAGAAAGAGGACCAUCGUGGUCUCUAUUUGUGUUGGUAUGUGAGAACCAAACCAUGAGAAAGGAGAAUGCGAUAGCGUGACAGAGAACUGAGACAAAUUUAAUGAAUGAGGAAGAAGGAAGACGAAGGCAGCAUCUUGCUGCUGCUGCCGAGGUUCUGAUGAUGCAGGGGAGGCAACGCCGCUGCAGGGGACGGCGAUAGGAGAUCUGCCGGCGCCGGUGGUGGUCGUGGGUGGUCAUUAAGCUUGGGACAUCACCAAUUCUCACCCACAUCUUCCACUUUGACAGAAAUCAAAGAUACUACAAGUUCAAGUGUGCGUAGCAAUUCAAGGACUCUUUUGACGAGAGCUUGUGACUCUAUUUCAAAGCAUCUCAUCCAAGAUUACAUUAUUGAUAAUGCAAUCUUUGGUGCCGAGCAUUUUCAAAGAAGUUUUUCGUAGAAGUUUCGGUUCAUUGCAACAGUAUACAUCUACAAUAUGGCAAGUAGCAUAUGGGAACACGACACGUGUGUUGGAUAAGUGCUUGAAUACAUCAUAAAGAACUUCACAUGAAAGUCUUCGACACUUCUAUUAUGGUAUUAUUAAGUUGUAUAUAGAUGAAUAUUUAUACAAACCAACAACCAAAUAUAUUCAAAUUUUGUAAGAUUACACACUAGAAUCGGAGGACCUAAAACGUUACCUAUUACUAGUACCACACAAUGAUAUUUGAAAUGGUAUAUUCAUAA